CAGCAGCCGCGGUAAGACAGAGGAUGCAAGCGUUAUCCGGAAUGAUUGGGCGUAAAGCGUCUGUAGGUGGCUUUUCAAGUCCGCCGUCAAAUCCCAGGGCUCAACCCUGGACAGGCGGUGGAAACUACCAAGCUGGAGUACGGUAGGGGCAGAGGGAAUUUCCGGUGGAGCGGUGAAAUGCAUUGAGAUCGGAAAGAACUCCAACGGCGAAAGCACCCUGCUGGGCCGACACUGACACUGAGAGACGAAAGCUAGGGGAGCAAAUGGGAUUAGAUACCCGCGUAGUCCCUGUCUCUUAUAC
rnacentral:rRNA from 1 species